rnacentral:rRNA from 1 species
GACGAACGCUGGCGGCGUGCUUAACACAUGCAAGUCGAACGGAAAGGCCCUGCUUUUGUGGGGUGCUCGAGUGGCGAACGGGUGAGUAACACGUGAGUAACCUGCCCUUGACUUUGGGAUAACUUCAGGAAACUGGGGCUAAUACCGGAUAGGAGCUCCUGCUGCAUGGUGGGGGUUGGAAAGUUUCGGCGGUUGGGGAUGGACUCGCGGCUUAUCAGCUUGUUGGUGGGGUAGUGGCUUACCAAGGCUUUGACGGGUAGCCGGCCUGAGAGGGUGACCGGCCACAUUGGGACUGAGAUACGGCCCAGACUCCUACGGGAGACAGCAGUGGGGAAUAUUGCACAAUGGGCGGAAGCCUGAUGCAGCAACGCCGCGUGCGGGAUGACGGCCUUCGGGUUGUAAACCGCUUUCGCCUGUGACGAAGCGUGAGUGACGGUAAUGGGUAAAGAAGCACCGGCUAACUACGUGCCAGCAGCCGCGGUGAUACGUAGGGUGCGAGCGUUGUCCGGAUUUAUUGGGCGUAAAGGGCUCGUAGGUGGUUGAUCGCGUCGGAAGUGUAAUCUUGGGGCUUAACCCUGAGCGUGCUUUCGAUACGGGUUGACUUGAGGAAGGUAGGGGAGAAUGGAGUUCCUGGUGGAGCGGUGGAAUGCGCAGAUAUCAGGAGGAACACCAGUGGCGAAGGCGGUUCUCUGGGCCUUUCCUGACGCUGAGGAGCGAAAGCGUGGGGAGCGAACAGGCUUAGAUACCCUGGUAGUCCACGCUGUAAACGGUGGGUACUAGGUGUGGGGUCCAUUCCACGGGUUCCGUGCCGUAGCUAACGCUUUAAGUACCCCGCCUGGGGAGUACGGCCGCAAGGCUAAAACUCAAAGGAAUUGACGGGGCCCCGCACAAGCGGCGGAGCAUGCGGAUUAAUUCGAUGCAACGCGUAGAACCUUACCUGGGUUUGACAUGGAUCGGGAGUGCUCAGAGAUGGGUGUGCCUCUUUUGGGGUCGGUUCACAGGUGGUGCAUGGCUGUCGUCAGCUCGUGUCGUGAGAUGUUGGGUUAAGUCCCGCAACGAGCGCAACCCUUGUUCACUGUUGCCAGCACGUUAUGGUGGGGACUCAGUGGAGACCGCCGGGGUCAACUCGGAGGAAGGUGGGGAUGACGUCAAGUCAUCAUGCCCCUUAUGUCCAGGGCUUCACGCAUGCUACAAUGGCUGGUACAGAGAGUGGCGAGCCUGUGAGGGUGAGCGAAUCUCGGAAAGCCGGUCUCAGUUCGGAUUGGGGUCUGCAACUCGACCUCAUGAAGUCGGAGUCGCUAGUAAUCGCAGAUCAGCAACGCUGCGGUGAAUACGUUCCCGGG